AACGAACGCUGGCGGCAGGCUUAACACAUGCAAGUCGAACGCCCCGCAAGGGGAGUGGCAGACGGGUGAGUAACGCGUGGGAAUCUACCCAGUUCUACGGAACAACAGAGGGAAACUUCUGCUAAUACCGUAUACGCCCCAAGGGGGAAAGACUUAUCGGAAUUGGAUGAGCCCGCGUAAGAUUAGCUAGUUGGUGAGGUAAUGGCUCACCAAGGCGACGAUCUUUAGCUGGUCUGAGAGGAUGAUCAGCCACACUGGGACUGAGACACGGCCCAGACUCCUACGGGAGGCAGCAGUGGGGAAUAUUGGACAAUGGGCGCAAGCCUGAUCCAGCCAUGCCGCGUGAGUGAUGGAGGCCUUAGGGUUGUAAAGCUCUUUCAGUAGGGAAGAUAAUGACGGUACCUACAGAAGAAGCCCCGGCUAACUUCGUGCCAGCAGCCGCCGCAGUAA
rnacentral:rRNA from 1 species